rnacentral:rRNA from 1 species
GAUGAACGCUGGCGGCGUGCCUAAUACAUGCAAGUCGAGCGAACAGACGAGGAGCUUUCUCCUCUGACGUUAGCGGCGGACGGGUGAGUAACACGUGGAUAACCUACCUAUAAGACUGGGAUAACUUCGGGAAACCGGAGCUAAUACCGGAUAAUAUAUUGAACCGCAUGGUUCAAUAGUGAAAGACGGUUUUGCUUUCACUUAUAGAUGGAUCCGCGCCGCAUUAGCUAGUUGGUAAGGUAACGGCUUACCAAGGCAACGAUGCGUAGCCGACCUGAGAGGGUGAUCGGCCACACUGGAACUGAGACACGGUCCAGACUCCUACGGGAGGCAGCAGUAGGGAAUCUUCCGCAAUGGGCGAAAGCCUGACGGAGCAACGCCGCGUGAGUGAUGAAGGUCUUCGGAUCGUAAAACUCUGUUAUUAGGGAAGAACAAGUGUGUAAGUAACUAUGCACGUCUUGACGGUACCUAAUCAGAAAGCCACGGCUAACUACGUG